AUCGAUUUUUUUAUUUUUUUUUUUAUUUUUAUAAUGACUCAUCAAUCAGAGAAUAUGUCAAGCUGUGUCAAGACCCCUCCAAGGUUCCACUUCUAUACUUAUAUUUAUUAGUAUGUUUAUCCAGGACAAAUGAUUGUAUUGGGAUGCUCUAUGUGUUGUCUCUUUUUAUUUUAAUUUCAAUUAACAUGGAUUGAAUACAUAUUUUUUUACUGAUAAAUCAAUUUUUUUCAUUUGGACAAUGAGGUUAUAUUGGUGUGAUUUUGGGCGUGUGUGUGUGUGUAAACAUACACCUUGACAUCAUCUAUGUGAUAAGUCCAUGACAAAUGGAACUGAAAUUUUACUGUUGAAAUGGAGUCUUGUCCAGAUUUUAUAUCACGUAUGUACUGUUAUUAUUAUUAUUUUUAUAUUCAAUCAUAUGACUGAUUUUUGACGUGAUAUAAUUGACUCAAACAGCUGCAAUUUAAGAGUUUUUCUUUUUCUAUUUUGCCUUGAGUUGAGUCAAUAAGUUUUGAAUAACAAAUUGUUUAGUAUCAUUUCUACACAUCAUCCAUUUUAAAUUGAAUUUUUUUUAAAACAUUGAUUCACGUCGAUGCAUAAAUUUCCAUCGCGAACAAGUGGAAAAGUACAAUCACAACCGGGAUU